rnacentral:lncRNA from 1 species
GCCGCACAUUUACCUUGUCCUUAUUCAUAGUUCAUCCACAUGGCUGUCCCUUGGUACAACAUUCAGGUUUGUAAAUAUAACUGGCAUUUAAUGUAACCAGCAAGAAAUACAAAUAAGAAAACCAAGAGACAUAUCACACAAACAAUAUAUUCAACAGGGGAAAAUGGGGUCCGGGUGACUAUAAACAUGUACCACAAAUACAGUUGAAACAGAUCCCAUGAGCAAUAUAGUCCACACAGGAGAACAGUUUCCAAAUGAAUCAAGAUACAUGUAUCGCGUGAAUAUUUUCUAAUGAUCGAAUGUGAAGAGUGCCUUUAUAAUCAAUUACAAACAGCCCCAAUCCCUAAAACAAUAGCACACAUAGAUUUUUUUUUCCUAAAAAUAUGUGCAGGAAUAAGCCAGAACAGAGGAAGCAUCAUCUUUCAGUAAACCAUUGUCACUAAAUUUCAACUGGAGGUGGUGAAGUGAAAAUUGGCGAUAAGUGGUCGGUCUCACCAAUGUCUCCUUCCUGCAUCAAACAAAAUUUCAACAUCAAAAUUGUGUAACAAGGCAUGAAAGUUUGCUUAGACGAAUUAAACAUGUGAUUUGAUGUUUGUGCACAAUUAGCAACACCUCCUGCUAUUAUACAUAAGUAAGCACAAGUAGUAUAUUCCAGGAUGUUUUAAAGGACCAACUGGUUUUACUUAAGAAAAUGAAAUUCAAGUGAACAAGACAACACUAAUAUUACUGUCAGAGUAGUAUGUUAAGUUUCAUACAACCACAGAGAUGUGAUCUGUUGGAAAUGGAUUGAUGUUUCACCCCGAAAGAAGAAACUAGUGCAUAACAGCGCACAGCAUUUACUGUUAACCAAAAGGAUGAGCUCAAUACAACUUGCACAAGCUGUAUUAGUUUUCAUCUAGGUAUUUACAAGCUGCCCUGCAAUGGGGCUCAUGUUUGGUGCUCCCUACAUUGGGAUCUAACAGCCAGCCUAAUGCUCAGCAAGUCAGCAUUGCUUGAUGGUAACUAUCACAAUACCAAAGCAUGUGUAGCAACUAUGGAUAACACCUUGUAAUGAAAUUGCAGUGCGCACCAGCUUUAGGGUGCAUACAUAAGCAACCGAUCUAAGUUUAUUUGACCGCUAUUUAGGCAUGCAUGGAUGAGUUCAGUACAAGUUGUACUGUGUGAAUACAUACAGUGAUGAGGCAGUUGCCCUUGUGGAAGCUCUAUCGCGUUCAAUUCACCCUAGAUUUUUACAAGCUGCUGUUGCAUUGGGAUGAACCAUCGCAUUGCCAUGCAUGUGCAGCAACGCCCUAUACCUCUAUAUAAGCAAAGACUCGUCAAUUUAUGGGGUAAGAUCAAUACAAGCUGUAUCAUAGUUUUGAUCUAGGUUUUUACAUGUUGCUCUCCAAUAUGGAACUCAUGGUCCAUGUGCAGCAAUUCUGUAUAACGCUAUCUAUGUAUAAGCAAAGACUCAUCAAUUUCUGGGCAUAUGACACCUAAAAUAGCAUGGAUUAUAGUUACCGCAUGCAUCAACCUAAAUAGUAGAUUUGAUCUGAAGGUGUUCCUAAACCCUAAACCAUGCCCCUCAAUGAAGUGAUCGAACCUGCAUAUACAUCCAAUCAUGCAAACAUACCUGAUCUGAAGUACCACCAGAUUAAUUAAGCAGGCCCGCAGAUACAGGAUUCACAUUGGCUAGCUGAAUACUAUUGAACUGCUGGCUAAUAUUUGGAUACUAAGGCUCGGCAAAUUGAUGUGAUCUUUUCAAGGUGAUUCGUAUGUAAACGGUAAACCCAACCCCUCCAGGAACCGCUCGAACCAGUGAAAAAUCGACCGAUCUAAUCCGUUAACAAGGUAUAGCGAUAAUCACAGCUACUAUCCCCAGAUCUGGCGGAACGGAAUCGUAACACAGAUACCUAAAUUACCGCGAGAACCGGAUAGAGGAACACGCAGGAUUCACAAACCAGAGCACGGAGCUUACCGAACCCUCAGCUACCUGCACCGACAGUUGGGCCAUCCCCGCGUCCCGGCGCCGCUUCGCGAGCGAGGACGGCGAAGAUCCGCGGCGCGCCCCAAGCACCACGCGCGAGGCGGCGAUCGCCCCGGGCUGCGGCGCCGGCUGCUCGCUGGAGACCAUGAUGUCGCGGCGCUAGGGAUUCUGAUGAGAUCUGCUCGUCGGCGCGCGUGUGAGUGAUGUGGAUAUGAUGGGGAGGGUCCGGGGGCGGAGGAAGCGAGCAAGUUCGGGGAGGGGGCGGAGAGCACGAGGUAUAGCGCGUCGUGCUGGAGCGAGGGCGGGCGAGUCGGGCGUGACGAGGGGCUGGCCGUGGCGUGGUGCGUCCAUCGCGCGCAAGCGGGAUUUUUCUGGGAAAUUGUUGGCCGCCCGCGUCCGCCGCGGCCCAACGGAAUCAAUUUGCGUCUCGCUCGAUUUCAGCAGCAGCCAUCAGCAAAUGGGACGGUGCAAUCCAUCCUGGUAGUGUUCGAUUCGACCCAGCCCGGCACGAAAAAAGGCAAACGACUUGAAAGAGAAAAGAGAUCAUU